CAGUUCGGCAGCUGUUGAGCCUGAGCCUACAAUUUCCACCAGAGCUGCUGAUUUUCUGGCUACUGUUCUGCCAGAGCUAACUAGGUCAAACCACCCUGCUGACUGUCUGGACUCUGUUCAGCCUGAGACAUCUAUGUCCACACACCCUGCUGAUAAUAUGGCUACUGAUGAGCUUGAGCCUACAAUUUCAACCAACGCUGCUUACUCUCUGGCUGCUCUUGAGCCUAAGUCGACUAAAUCCUCCAAUUCUGCUGACUGUCUGGCCUAUGUUGAGCCAGAGCCAGCUAUGUCCACCCACCAUGCCGACAGUCUGGCUGCUCUUGAGCAUGAACUGUCUCAUGCCAACAAAGUUGCUGACUGUCUGGCUUCUCUCAAGGCUGAGCCAACCAUGUCCACCCAGCCUGCUGACAGUUCGGCAGCUGUUGAGCCUGAGCCUACAAUUUCCACCAGAGCUGCUGAUUGUCUGGCUACUGUUCUGCUGGAGCUAAUUAGGUCCAUCCACCCUGCUGACUGUCUGGACUCUGUUCAGCCUGAGUCAUCUAUGUCCACACACCCAGCUGAUAAUAUGGCUACUGAUGAGCUUGAGCCUAAAAAUUCGACCAACGCUGUUUACUGUCUGGCUGCUCUUGAGCCUGAGUCGACUAAAUCCUCCAAUGCUGCUGACUGUCUGGCCUAUGUUGAGCCAGAGCCAGAGCCAGGCAUGUCCACCCACCGUGCCGACAGUCUGGCUUCUCUUGAGCAUGAGCUGACUAAUUCCAACAACACUGCUGACUGUCUGGCUUCUCAGAAGGCAGAGUCAAUUGAUUCUACCAAUGCUACUGAUUGUUUGGCUUCUGUUGGGACUGAGACAACUAUGUCCACCCACCCUGCUGACAAUAUGGCUACUGAUGAGCUUGAGCCUACACAUUCCACCAAUGCUGCUUACUGUCUGGCUGCUCUUGAGCCUGAGUCGACUAAAUCCUCCAGUGCUGCUGACUGCCUGGCCUAUGUUGAGCCAGAGCCAGCUAUGUCCACCCACCGUGCCGACAGUCUGGCUGCUCUUGACCAUGAGCUGUCUCAUGCCAACAAAGAUGCUGGCUGUCUGGCUUCUCUCAAGGCUGAGCUGAUUAAUUCCACCAAUGCUACUGAUUGUCUGGCUUCUGUUGGGACUGAGACAACCAAGUCCACCCAGCCUGCUGACAGUUUGGCAGCUGUUGAGCCUGAACAUAAUAAUUCCACCAAUGCUGCUGACGG
ensembl:lncRNA